CCUUCCGUUGGUGAACCAGCGGAGGGAUCAUUACCGAGUUUACAACUCCCAAACCCCUGUGAACAUACCACUUGUUGCCUCGGCGGAUCAGCCCGCUCCCGGUAAAACGGGACGGCCCGCCAGAGGACCCCUAAACUCUGUUUCUAUAUGUAACUUCUGAGUAAAACCAUAAAUAAAUCAAAACUUUCAACAACGGAUCUCUUGGUUCUGGCAUCGAUGAAGAACGCAGCAAAAUGCGAUAAGUAAUGUGAAUUGCAGAAUUCAGUGAAUCAUCGAAUCUUUGAACGCACAUUGCGCCCGCCAGUAUUCUGGCGGGCAUGCCUGUUCGAGCGUCAUUUCAACCCUCAAGCACAGCUUGGUGUUGGGACUCGCGUUAAUUCGCGUUCCUCAAAUUGAUUGGCGGUCACGUCGAGCUUCCAUAGCGUAGUAGUAAAACCCUCGUUACUGGUAAUCGUCGCGGCCACGCCGUUAAACCCCAACUUCUGAAUGUUGACCUCGGAUCAGGUAGGAAUACCCGCUGAACUUAAGCAUAUCAAUAAGCGGAGGAA
rnacentral:rRNA from 1 species